GAGGGUGAAAGUGGUGAUUUGGCCGGCCGGCUUGCAGCCACGUUAAACAACUCGCUAAAGGGCCGACCCGACGAUGAA
rnacentral:ncRNA from 2 species